GUCAUCCAACUCGUAAACGCUGGCAUCUUUCUAGAACUUCCGACUUCCCGACCUGAAGUUCACUGACUUCUUGGUUUGACCUCGUUUAUUCAGAGUUCCCAGUUGUCUUAAAAUCACCAUGACCAUCAGAUGCAGUAGGGGGAGAUGUUACCCCAACUCAGAGAAAUCUCAGUCCAGCUGGCCCCUCUUGCUGCUCUGUUGUACCCUGGGAGCUCCUUGAACCUCCUCCUCCUCGCUGUCGUCUGACUCUGUGCUGGUGAUGUCAUCCUCUUCAUCUUCCUCCUCCUCCUCACUGGCCUCUUCCUCAGCUCCUUGGGGCUCCUGGAAGCUCUGCAUGGGGCACAGAGAGGCAACAGGAUUGACUGUGAUAUUGAGCGCUGAGUUGUUCCAGUCCAGCUCUCCCUCCUUGGUUGUGUCUGAGCUCCUGCCCUCCUGUUGGUGUGUCAGGUGAAUACGGUAGAUGCCUAGCACAACCACCACCACCAGGGCGGCAAUACAGAUCACUAUCACCACUGUGGCAGCACUGGGGACUCCUUGGGGAAAGUUCAAGGGGCUUUAUUGGCAUGGGGAAACGUGUUAACAUUGCCAAAGCAAGUGAGGACCUGAGCCCCAGGACCAUGCCUCAGUACUACCUGACAUGAUGACUCCUUGCUGUCCCCAGUCCACCUGGCCAUGCUGCUGCUCCAGUUUCAACUGUUCUGCCUUGUUAUUAUUCGACUAUGCUGGUCAUUUAUGAACAUUUGAACAUCUUGGCCACGUUCUGUUAUAAUCUCCACCCGGCACAGCCAGAAGAGGACUGGCCACCCCACAUAUGCUCUCUCUAAUUCUCUCUUUCUUUCUCUCUCUCGGAGGACCUGAGCCCAAGGACCGUGCCCCAGGACGACCUGACAUGAUGACUCCUUGCUGUCCCCAGUCCACCUGACUGUGCUGCUGCUCCAGUUUCAACUGUUCUGCCUUGUUAUUAUUCGACCAUGCUGGUCAUUUAUGAACAUUUGAACAUCUUGGCCAUGUUCUGUUAUAAUCUCCACCCGGCACAGCCAGAAGAGGACUGGCCACCCCACAUAGCCUGGUUCCUCUCUAGGUUUCUUCCUAGGCUUUGGCCUUUCUAGGGAGUUUUUCCUAGCCAACGUGCUUCUACACCUGCAUUGCUUGCUGUUUGGGGUUUUAGGCUGGGUUUCUGUACAGCACUUUGAGAUAUCAGCUGAUGUAAGAAGGGCUAUAUAAAUAAAAUUAGAUUUGGUCUGGA